UAUCAAUCAAGAUGAGCGCUGAGCUCCCUGUGUCAGCCGAGAAGAAAAUCUUUCAAACUGUGAGAAGCUUCUAUGAGGCAGUGCUUAAGAAGAUGUUCUCCACCUUUCCCCUCGACCAUCCACUCCUGAGGGACCUGAAAGUGCUGGACCCUGCAGCUCGCCUUAACAUAACUCCAGGGACAGUGGAAAGGCUAGGGGCCCUGUUCCCCCAGUUGAGGCUGAAAGAGGAUAAGAUGAGGGAGGAAUUCACAGACUAUCAGGUGACAGAUAGCAAGCAACUCCCCCAAGAAGACAGAAUCGACAAAUUUUGGGGCCUGGUAGGAAAGGACAUGAGGUUCAGUGAGCUGCCAGAACUUAUGAAGGCUUUACUAUGCAUUCCCCAUAGCAAUGCAAGUUCAGAAAGGGUGUUUAGCAUGGUACGAAAAAUUGUUACAGAGAAUAGGAUGUCGUUAGACAACAGAACUGUUUGCGCUCUACUCUCAUGUAAAAUUAACCACUCUGGCUCAGCCCACAAAUACACUCCUUCCAAAACAGUCUUAAAUAAUGCAAAGUCUGCAACA